UACAGAGGGCGCGAGCGUUGUCCGGAAUCACUGGGCGUAAAGGGCGCGUAGGUGGCCACCAUAAGGCCGCGGUGAAAGUCUGGAGCUCAACUCCAGAUCGGCCGCGGCGACUGUGGGGCUUGGGCACGGUAGAGGCAGAUGGAAUUCCGGGUGUAGCGGUGGAAUGCGUAGAGAUCCGGAAGAACACCGGUGGCGAAGGCGGUCUGCUGGGCCGUGGGGGCGCAAGUCCCUAGUAGCCGACACUGAGGCGCGACAGCGUGGGGAGCAAACAGGAUUAGAUACCCUGGUAGUCCACGCCGUAAACGAUGGGCACUAGGUGCUCUGGGGAGCGACCCCCGGGGUACCGGCGCUAACGCAUGAAGUGCCCCGCCUGGGGAGUACGGCCGCAAGGCUGAA
rnacentral:rRNA from 1 species